rnacentral:rRNA from 1 species
UACGAAGGGGGGCUAGCGUUGCUCGGAAUCACUGGGCGUAAAGGGUGCGUAGGCGGGUCUUUAAGUCAGGGGGUGAAAUCCUGGAGCUCAACUCCAGAACUGCCUUUGAUACUGAAGAUCUUGAGUUCGGGAGAGGUGAGUGGAGCUGCGAGUGUAGAGGUGAAAAUUCGUAGAUAUUCGCAAAGAACACCAGUGGCGAAGGCGGCUCACUGGCCCGAUACUGACG